rnacentral:rRNA from 1 species
AUUGAACGCUGGCGGCAGGCCUAACACAUGCAAGUCGAACGAGUGGCGUACGGGUGAGUAAUGUCUGGGCAACUGCCUGAUGGAGGGGGAUAACUACUGGAAACGGUAGCUAAUCCCGCCUACCAUCAGAUGUUCCCCGAUGGGAUUAGCUAGUGGGUUGGGUAACGGCUCACCAAGGCGACGAUCCCUAGCUGGUCUGAGAGGAUGACCAGCCACACUGGAACUGAGACACGGUCCAGACUCCUACGGGAGGCAGAAGUGGGGAAUAUUGCACAAUGGGCGCAAGCCUGAUGCAGCCAUGCCGCGUGGAUGAAGAAGGCCUUCGGGUUGUAAAGUACUUUCAGCGGGGAGGCGUUACCCGCAGAAGAAGCACCGGCUAACUCCGUGCCAGCCGCCGCGGUAAUAC